rnacentral:rRNA from 1 species
CCUACGGGAGGCAGCAGUGGGGAAUAUUGCACAAUGGGCGCAAGCCUGAUGCAGCGACGCCGCGUGCGGGAUGACGGCCUUCGGGUUGUAAACCGCUUUUGAUCGGGAGCAAGCCUUCGGGUGAGUGUACCUUUCGAAUAAGCACCGGCUAACUACGUGCCAGCAGCCGCGGUAAUACGUAGGGUGCAAGCGUUAUCCGGAAUUAUUGGGCGUAAAGGGCUCGUAGGCGGUUCGUCGCGUCCGGUGUGAAAGUCCAUCGCUUAACGGUGGAUCUGCGCCGGGUACGGGCGGGCUGGAGUGCGGUAGGGGAGACUGGAAUUCCCGGUGUAACGGUGGAAUGUGUAGAUAUCGGGAAGAACACCAAUGGCGAAGGCAGGUCUCUGGGCCGUUACUGACGCUGAGGAGCGAAAGCGUGGGGAGCGAACAGGAUUAGAUACCCUGGUAGUCCACGCCGUAAACGGUGGAUGCUGGAUGUGGGGCCCGUUCCACGGGUUCCGUGUCGGAGCUAACGCGUUAAGCAUCCCGCCUGGGGAGUACGGCCGCAAGGCUAAAACUCAAAGAAAUUGACGGGGGCCCGCACAAGCGGCGGAGCAUGCGGAUUAAUUCGAUGCAACGCGAAGAACCUUACCUGGGCUUGACAUGUUCCCGACAGCCGUAGAGAUACGGUCUCCCUUCGGGGCGGGUUCACAGGUGGUGCAUGGUCGUCGUCAGCUCGUGUCGUGAGAUGUUGGGUUAAGUCCCGCAACGAGCGCAACCCUCGCCCUGUGUUGCCAGCACGUCAUGGUGGGAACUCACGGGGGACCGCCGGGGUCAACUCGGAGGAAGGUGGGGAUGACGUCAGAUCAUCAUGCCCCUUACGUCCAGGGCUUCACGCAUGCUACAAUGGCCGGUACAACGGGAUGCGACACGGCGACGUGGAGCGGAUCCCUGAAAACCGGUCUCAGUUCGGAUUGGAGUCUGCAACCCGACUCCAUGAAGGCGGAGUCGCUAGUAAUCGCGGAUCAGCAACGCCGCGGUGAAUGCGUUCCCGGGCCUUGUACACACCGCCCGUCAAGUCAUGAAAGUGGGUAGCACCCGAAGCCGGUGGCCUAACCCUUUGUGGAUGGAGCCGUCUAAGGUGAGACUCGUGAUUGGGACUAAGUCGUAACAAGGUAGCCGUACCGGAAGGUGCGGCUG